rnacentral:rRNA from 1 species
GGGGAAUAUUGCCCAAUGGGCGCAACCCGGAUCCAGCCAGGCGGCGGUUAGGAAGAAGGCCUUGGGGUGUAAAAGUACUUCCGCGGGGGGGGAAGGCAUACGGUUUAUAACCCGUGUGAAUUGACGUUACCCGAAAAGGAGGCCCCGGCAAACUCGGGCCAGCAGCCGCGGUAAUACGGAGGGUGCAAGCGUUAAUCGGAAUUACUGGGCGUAAAGCGCACGCAGGCGGUCUGUCAAGUCGGAUGUGAAAUCCCCGGGCUCAACCCGGGAACUGCAUUCGAAACUGGCAGGCUAGAGUCUUGUAGAGGGGGGUAGAAUUCCAGGUGUAGAGUGAAAUGCGUAGAGAUCUGGAGGAAUACCGGUGGCGAAGGCGGCCCCCUGGACAAAGACUGACGCUCAGGUGCGAAAGCGUGGGGAGCAAACA